rnacentral:rRNA from 1 species
GAAUUCGCCCUUAGAGUUUGAUUCUGGCUCAGGACGAACGCUGGCGGCAUGCCUAACACAUGCAAGUCGAACGGGGAUAGCAAUAUCCUAGUGGCGAACGGGUGAGUAACGCGUGAGCAACCUGCCUCAUACAACGGGAUACCCGAGGGAAACUUCGGUUAAUACGGUAUAAGACCACACUACCGCAUGGUAGAGGGGUAAAAGGAGAAAUCCGGUAUGAGAUGGGCUCGCGUCGCAUUAGCUAGUUGGAGAGGUAACGGCUCACCAAGGCGACGAUGCGUAGCCGACCUGAGAGGGUGAACGGCCACAUUGGGACUGAGAUACGGCCCAGACUCCUACGGGAGGCAGCAGUGGGGAAUAUUGGGCAAUGGAGGAAACUCUGACCCAGCAAUGCCGCGUGAAUGAAGAAGGUCUUCGGAUUGUAAAGUUCUUUAGUCAGGGAAGAAAAAAAUGACGGUACCUGAAGAAUAAGCUCCGGCUAACUACGUGCCAGCAGCCGCGGUAAUACGUAGGGAGCAAGCGUUGUUCGGAAUGACUGGGCGUAAAGGGUGCGUAGGCGGUUGUACAAGUUAGAAGUGAAAUACCCAGGGCUUAACUCGGGUGCUGCUUCUAAAACUGUAUGACUUGAGUGCAGUAGAGGUUAGUGGAAUUCCUAGUGUAGCGGUGGAAUGCGUAGAUAUUAGGAGGAACACCAGAGGCGAAGGCGGCUAACUAGACUGCAACUGACGCUGAGGCACGAAAGUGUGGGGAGCAAACAGGAUUAGAUACCCUGGUAGUCCACACUGUAAACGAUGGAUACU